CCUACGGGGGGCUGCAGUGGGGAAUAUUGCACAAUGGGGGAAACCCUGAUGCAGCGACGCCGCGUGAGUGAAGAAGUAUUUCGGUAUGUAAAGCUCUGUCAGCAGGGAAGAAAAUGACGGUACCUGACCACUAAGCCCCGGCUAACUACGUGCCAGCAGCCGCGGUAAUACGGAGGGGGCAAGCGUUAUCCGGAUUUACUGGGUGUAACGGGAGCGUAGACGGCAGGGCAAGUCUGGAGUGAAAGGCGGGGGCUCAACCCCCGGACUGCUCGGGAAACUGCCAGGCUGGAGUGCAGGAGAGGUAAGUGGAAUUCCUAGUGUAGCGGUGAAAUGCGUAGAUAUUAGGAGGAACACCAGUGGCGAAGGCGGCUUACUGGACUGUAACUGACGUUGAGGCUCGAAAGCGUGGGGAGCAAACAGGAUUAGAUACCCGGGUAGUC
rnacentral:rRNA from 1 species